AUUGAACGCUGGCGGCAGGCCUAACACAUGCAAGUCGAGCGGGGUUUUCGAACCUAGCGGCGGACGGGUGAGUAAUGCGUAGGAAGCUACCCGAUAGAGGGGGAUACCAGUUGGAAACGACUGUUAAUACCGCAUAACGUCUACGGACCAAAGGGUGGGACCUUGGGGCCACAUGCUAUCGGAUGCGCCUACGUGGGAUUAGCUCGCUGGUGAGGUAAUGGCUCACCAAGGCGACGAUCACCAGCUGGUUUGAGAGGAUGCUACGCCACACUGGAACUGAGACACGGGCCAGACUCCUACGGGAGGCAGCAGUGGGGACAAUUGGACAAUGGGCGCAAUCCUGAUCCAGCCAUGCCGCGUGUGUGAAGAAGGCCUUCGGGUUGUAAAGCACUUUCAGUAGGGAGGAAGCGUUGUGUGUUAAUAGUACACAGCGUUGACGUUACCUACAGAAGAAGCACCGGCUAACUCUGUGCCAGCAGCCGCCGUAACAC
rnacentral:rRNA from 1 species